GUCGAACGGGAUCCAUCAGGCUUUGCUUGGUGGUGAGAGUGGCGAACGGGUGAGUAAUGCGUGACCGACCUGCCCCAUACACCGGAAUAGCUCCUGGAAACGGGUGGUAAUGCCGGAUGCUCCGACUCCUCGCAUGGGGUGUCGGGAAAGAUUUCAUCGGUAUGGGAUGGGGUCGCGUCCUAUCAGGUAGUCGGCGGGGUAACGGCCCACCGAGCCUACGACGGGUAGCCGGCCUGAGAGGGCGACCGGCCACAUUGGGACUGAGAUACGGCCCAGACUCCUACGGGAGGCAGCAGUGGGGAAUAUUGCACAAUGGGCGCAAGCCUGAUGCAGCGACGCCGCGUGCGGGAUGACGGCCUUCGGGUUGUAAACCGCUUUUGAUCGGGAGCAAGCCUUCGGGUGAGUGUACCUUUCGAAUAAGCACCGGCUAACUACGUGCCAGCAGCCGCGGUAAUACGUAGGGUGCAAGCGUUAUCCGGAAUUAUUGGGCGUAAAGGGCUCGUAGGCGGUUCGUCGCGUCCGGUGUGAAAGUCCAUCGCUUAACGGUGGAUCUGCGCCGGGUACGGGCGGGCUGGAGUGCGGUAGGGGAGACUGGAAUUCCCGGUGUAACGGUGGAAUGUGUAGAUAUCGGGAAGAACACCAAUGGCGAAGGCAGGUCUCUGGGCCGUUACUGACGCUGAGGAGCGAAAGCGUGGGGAGCGAACAGGAUUAGAUACCCUGGUAGUCCACGCCGUAAACGGUGGAUGCUGGAUGUGGGGCCCGUUCCACGGGUUCCGUGUCGGAGCUAACGCGUUAAGCAUCCCGCCUGGGGAGUACGGCCGCAAGGCUAAAACUCAAAGAAAUUGACGGGGGCCCGCACAAGCGGCGGAGCAUGCGGAUUAAUUCGAUGCAACGCGAAGAACCUUACCUGGGCUUGACAUGUUCCCGACAGCCGUAGAGAUAUGGCCUCCCUUCGGGGCGGGUUCACAGGUGGUGCAUGGUCGUCGUCAGCUCGUGUCGUGAGAUGUUGGGUUAAGUCCCGCAACGAGCGCAACCCUCGCCCUGUGUUGCCAGCACGUCAUGGUGGGAACUCACGGGGGACCGCCGGGGUCAACUCGGAGGAAGGUGGGGAUGACGUCAGAUCAUCAUGCCCCUUACGUCCAGGGCUUCACGCAUGCUACAAUGGCCGGUACAACGGGAUGCGACACGGCGACGUGGAGCGGAUCCCUGAAAACCGGUCUCAGUUCGGAUUGGAGUCUGCAACCCGACUCCAUGAAGGCGGAGUCGCUAGUAAUCGCGGAUCAGCAACGCCGCGGUGAAUGCGUUCCCGGGCCUUGUACACACCGCCCGUCAAGUCAUGAAAGUGGGUAGCACCCGAAGCCGGUGGCCUAACCCUU
rnacentral:rRNA from 1 species